GCCUAUAGCCCAGUGGCUAAGGUACAUGACUGGGACCUCUGAGGUUUGCGGUUCAAAUCCCAGUCCAGCCA
rnacentral:tRNA from 1 species